GACGUAGGGCGCGAGCGUUGUCCGGAUUUAUUGGGCGUAAAGAGCUCGUAGGCGGCUUGUCGCGUCGAAUGUGAAAUCUCAGGGCUCAACUCUGACAUUGCAUUCGAUACGGGCAGGCUAGAGUUCGGUAGGGGAGACUGGAAUUCCUGGUGUAGCGGUGAAAUGCGCAGAUAUCAGGAGGAACGCCGGCGGCGAAAGCGGCUCUCUGGCCUGUUACUGACGCUGAGGCGCGAAAGCUAGGGGAGCAAACGGG
rnacentral:rRNA from 1 species